UCUUGCAUGGAAUGUGAUUGUGGACCAAGUCAAAGUAGGAAUUAGUUUGGAUUUCAAAUUCUAUGAGAUAGAAGUUUAGAAAACCAAAACUCUUUCCUUAUGGCACUGAUUUUAUCUAGAUUUUUUUUAAGAUUUUUAUGGCUUUUAUGGCACAUAAUAUGCGCCCUUUGCUGGUGGUCCAUGGCAGAAAAAGGAGGGGACGUCCAAGAGUUGGGUGCCCCUUGUCUUGCCUUGUUUGGAUAAUUCUUGACUAGGUAUUUGACCUAGACAAGGAUUCUUCAUAUCUCUCUAUUUAAAAUAAAUUUCUUCAUAAAAUUUUCAUGGAACAUAGAGCAUUGAGAGUCCUUUGAGGCAUCCAAAAAUCAAGGAGAAAGAGUCUUGGGGCUUGGAGAUCUAAUAGAUACAAAACUAGAUGUCUCAGUUAGAGCAAAGAGAAGAAGAAGAGGGUCUUCUUCUAGGAUUGCUGAGUUCAUCUCUUCCCUUCCUCCAUCUGUAAGCUUUCUGAGAGUACCUCAUCUAAAACUCCUCCUACUUCUCAUCUUUGGAAGAGUCCAAAUCAAGAAGAAGGAGGCAUUUGAUUGACCAUCGAAGAAGAAUCAGCACAGUACUAGCAUACUGUGCUGAUUUUCUGGACCAGGACUUCUAAUCAUGAUUCGUGGGCUCAUGUGGAUGACUCUUAAAGACCGGACGCAUGUGUGGCUCACAACAUCAUCCUCAAAUCCGGAUCA
rnacentral:lncRNA from 1 species